rnacentral:rRNA from 1 species
CGAGAGUUUGAUCAUGGCUCAGGAUGAACGCUAGCGGGAGGCCUAACACAUGCAAGCCGAGCGGUAGAGAUUCUUCGGGGAUCUUGAGAGCGGCGUACGGGUGCGGAACACGUGUGCAACCUACCUUUAUCUGGAGGAUAGCCUUUCGAAAGGAAGAUUAAUACUCCAUAAUAUAUUGAUUGGCAUCGAUUGAUAUUGAAAGCUCCGGCGGAUAGAGAUGGGCACGCGCAAGAUUAGCUAGUUGGUGAGGUAACGGCUCACCAAGGCGAUGAUCUUUAGGGGCCUGAGAGGGUGAUUCCCCACACUGGUACUGAGACACGGACCAGACUCCUACGGGAGGCAGCAGUGAGGAAUAUUGGUCAAUGGGUGCAAGCCUGAGCCAGCCAUCCCGCGUGAAGGACGACUGCCCUAUGGGUUGUAAACUUCUUUUGUAUAGGGAUAAACCUACCCUCGUGAGGGUAGCUGAAGGUAUUAUACGAAUAAGCACCGGCUAACUCCGUG